rnacentral:rRNA from 1 species
GAGUUCACUGAACCUUCGGGGAACGUGAACGGCGUCGAGCGGCGGACGGGUGAGUAAUGCCUGGGAAAUUGCCCUGAUGUGGGGGAUAACCAUUGGAAACGAUGGCUAAUACCGCAUAAUAGCUUCGGCUCAAAGAGGGGGACCUUCGGGCCUCUCGCGUCAGGAUAUGCCCAGGUGGGAUUAGCUAGUUGGUGAGGUAAGGGCUCACCAAGGCAACGAUCCCUAGCUGGUCUGAGAGGAUGAUCAGCCACACUGGAACUGAGACACGGUCCAGACUCCUACGGGAGGCAGCAGUGGGGAAUAUUGCACAAUGGGCGCAAGCCUGAUGCAGCCAUGCCGCGUGUAUGAAGAAGGCCUUCGGGUUGUAAAGUACUUUCAGCAGUGAGGAAGGUAUCGUAGUUAAUAGCUGCGGUAUUUGACGUUAGCUGCAGAAGAAGCACCGGCUAACUCCGUGCCAGCAGCCGCGGUAAUACGGAGGGUGCGAGCGUUAAUCGGAAUUACUGGGCGUAAAGCGCAUGCAGGUGGUUUGUUAAGUCAGAUGUGAAAGCCCGGGGCUCAACCUCGGAAUUGCAUUUGAAACUGGCAGACUAGAGUACUGUAGAGGGG